GACAACUAAAUUCUGAUUGGAUCCUUUUUUGUUUAAAGCUUUUGUUUCCAACCAAAACUAUUCCCACAGGGUAUAAACACAAAAAAAUGCUUUGUAGGACUUUCUAGAAUUUCGAAUUUCCCAGAAACCGUUAGACAUUCUCUGAAGAUGAGGGUUUUCCACUUUAAACAAUUAAAGGCAGUGCUGGAAUAAUGCUCUCCAUGAAAAACAGAAAUGAGUCUAACUUGAUGCGUCUGACAUCCGUUCCCCGUCCAGCCGCAUGCAAUCCCUGACUGUUUCUCGGAAGAAUGUGCUGGACGGCGUCCCAAAACACACGGCCCGAGUUUGUGGGAAGAAAAUGAUCCAGUGUCAUGCUGCAUGGAAAAUUGUCGGCCGAGCCAAGCAGGAUAUGCUGUGGGAUGGGAGGGGGGCAUUUCUGCACAAGCGAAUGUUCAGAUCCAGCAGGCUCGCUGCCAAGAGAGAGGCAGAGUGUCUGAGUGCAUGAGACUGGUGUACUGGAGUGUGAGUGUGUGUGUGUGUUAUUGAGAUAUUUCCAUGACUGGCAGUGUUUCAGGGUGGAUAGCUUUCAGAGCUUUUGGUAGCACCUGCUUCUGGAAAGUUCAUCUCUAUGAUCCAAUGAGAUUUCGGUAUGCCAGAUAUUGACGGAAUGGCAGCCGUGUCAGCAGAGGGGCAGCGAUCACACACACACACUCACACACACAGGUUGGCAUAUACACACACACACACACACACACACAGUCACACAGAGGGAGCGUGAACACACACUGGGUUAAAAGUAACAUGGCGCGUUCUCUGUAGGCAUCAUGUUAUGGAGAACUAAACACAAAUGUAUUCAUAGUAACGGUUGCUAGGUUUACGCACACAUACAGGCUGUGCCUUUACGGAUAAUAUGUAAAUGGACUCUGUUCUGAUUGGAUCUUCUGUGGAUGGGACAUUCUGUUUCAGAUAUUAUGGGGACACUUAACCUUCCUUAAUCUAUGGUGUCACAUGUGUGAAUAUAUUAUUAAAGGAAAUGAUCAUGACCUGCAGCAUCUGGCUAAAAUUGUCUAUUCAAAAAGGUCAAAGCUCAAAAAUGAGGUCAGUGCUGCAUUCUGUAGCUUCAAUGGGAAUGGGAAUUUAGUCCCAUGUCUCACGGUAUUUGCCAGUCAUACUGUCAUACUUGCAUAAAGCCAACCACUAAUAUGGGCC
rnacentral:lncRNA from 1 species